AAGUCGUAACAAGGUUUCCGUAGGUGAACCUGCGGAAGGAUCAUUGUCGAAUGUGUGCGGCCCUUUUUUGUUCCCAGCAAACUUUUUGAGGGGUGGUGCUCUGAUGAGUGUGCGAGGAGAAGAACACAACUUUCAACAACGGAUCUCUUGGCUCCCA
rnacentral:misc_RNA from 1 species